AGUGAACGCUGGCGGCAUGCCUAACACAUGCAAGUCGAACGGCAGCACAGUAAGAGCUUGUUCCUACUGUUGGCGGGUGGCGGACGGGUGAGGAAUGUAUCGGCAUCUUCUUUUUCGUGGAGGAUAACGUGGGGUAAUUUCUGAUAAUACCUCAUACUUUCAACGGGGUACUGCAGAGGAUCUUUGGGCCUUGCGCGUUUGUAUUAGCCGAUGUCGGAUUAGCUAGUUGGUGGGGUAAAGGCCCACCAAGGCGACGAUCCGUAGCUGGGCUGAGCGGAUGAUCAGCCACACCGGAACUGAGACACGGUCCAGACUCCUAAGGGAGGCAGCAGGGGGGAAUAUUGGACAAUGGGCGAAAGCCUGAUCCAGCCAUACCGCGUGGGUGAAGAAGGCCUUCGGGUUGUAAAACCGUUUUUGGGGGGAAGAAAAGCAGGAGGUUAAAACCCGGAUGUUCUGACGGUACCCAAAGAAAAAGCACCGGCUAACUUCGUG
rnacentral:rRNA from 1 species